rnacentral:rRNA from 1 species
AUUGAACGCUGGCGGCAUGCUUUACACAUGCAAGUCGAACGGCAGCACGGGGGCAACCCUGGUGGCGAGUGGCGAACGGGUGAGUAAUGCAUCGGAACGUAUCCUUAAGUGGGGGAUAACGCAUCGAAAGAUGCGCUAAUACCGCAUAAUCUCUGAGGAGAAAAGCAGGGGAUCGCAAGACCUUGCGCUUUUGGAGCGGCCGAUGUCUGAUUAGCUAGUUGGUGAGGUAAAGGCUUACCAAGGCUUCGAUCAUAGCUGGUCUGAGAGGACGACCAGCCACACUGGGACUGAGACACGGCCCAGACUCCUACGGGAGGCAGCAGUGGGAAUUUUGGACAAUGGGGAAACCCUGAUCCAGCCAUGCCGCGUGAGUGAAGAAGGCCUCGGUUGUAAGUA